AUACUUACCUGGCAGGGGAGAUACCAUGAUCACGAAGGUGGUUUUCCCAGGGCGAGGCUUAUCCAUUGCACUCCGGAUGUGCUGACCCCUGCGAUUUCCCCAAAUGUGGGAAACUCGACUGCAUAGUUUGUGGUAGUGAGGGACUGCGUUCGCGCUUUCCCCUG
ensembl:snRNA U1 U1 spliceosomal RNA